GGAACUGUGCCCGAAAGCCCAGGGACCACUUUGAUAGAGUGGCAUAUGAGGGCUAAAAUCCCUCCAGUUCCU
rnacentral:tRNA from 1 species